UAUGUUCUAUAUUAUAUGGUUUUACUUGUUCCAACCAUUUUAUUCCUAAUAUUAUAUCUGCUUUUUGCAUUUCUUCUUUUACUUCAAAUUCUAUUUUCAUUUUUCUAACUCCUAAUAUUAUUUCUUUUUCUGCUAGAUUUUUAUUAUUUAUCAAACUUCUUGGUAAAUCUGGGCAUAUAUUAUUAUCGGUUUUUAUAUCUUCAUUUUUUACUAGAUAUUUUGC
rnacentral:lncRNA from 1 species